GACAGGCAGGAGGGAGGGAAAAGCUAUUUCUUUGCAGUGAGCAGCAGCCAGGGAGCCCGCCCUGCCCCUUGUUCUACCCCUCCCCAGGAUGGCAGCCUAUUCCUGUUGGUUUCAGCCCAAAGCACCUGCCCUUGGCGUUUAAAUUCAGGCCUGUUUCUAAGCUGCUGCUUUGGGGCAAAGGAGUGUGUUUUGAAUAGGGCUGAUUUAGUUGGCACCAGGGGACUCCAGCAGUAGAUGGAAAUCCUCAGGUGGCAGAGAGCCACCGUAGGAAAUGACAGCUCUCCCAGGUGAUUGACUGCUCCAGCAUUAUGGCAAGAGGAUGGACAAGGAUAUCCUAUGUUCCAGUGAUCCUCAGUACUGCCUAUAAGCCCCACCCCAUUCUGUUAUGCAGUUUACACACAAAAUACGGAAGACAGUUCCCACCUCAAAUAGACUGCCAGUGAUCAUUCACUCUUUCUUUAACUACAAGGCAAUUAUUUCAGUAAGAAGUUUUCAAGGAAUUAACUUUCACCUGCCUGUGCAAAUAUAUGUGCCUGCAUGCACCCUCACGUGUACAUAUGCAUGCAGCAAAUGCAUGGUCAUUCUGGUUGCUUAGAAAUACACUUGUAUGAAAAAUAACCCAUUUUGUUCCCAAAGAAGGGCUGAACAUACCUUUGACUGCCAUGCACAAAUUGCCUUCUGUUUAAUACUAUACAGGCAACCCCUGCUUAACAUGGUUUCACUUAGCGCUGUUUUGCUAUAGCACUCAUUUAAAAUUAAUACCUGAUUUCACUUAGUGCUAAGCCAGUUUCAUUAUAGCACUCAGCAAAGAAGCGGCAGCAGCGAGAAGUGAUAAGUGGCAGCAAGUGGGUGGGUCGGAAUGAGCAUGGAGCCUGCACUGGUGCCACAGGGCCAGGGCCAGCAGGGGCCCAGGGUGGGGCAGCAGGAGCAGGGACCCAGGCUGACACACAGUGCCAGAGUGGCUAGUGGACAGGGGCGGUGGGGAGAAGCAGCAGCAGUGAGA